AGUGAACGCUGGCGGUAGGCCUAACACAUGCAAGUCGAACGGCAGCAUAGUAAGAGCUUGCUCUUACGGGUGGCGAGUGGCGGACGGGUGAGGUUUACAUCGGAAUCUACUUUUUCGUGGGGGAUAACGUAGGGAAACUUACGCUAAUACCGCAUACGACCUACGGGUGAAAGCAGGGGAUCUUCGGACCUUGCGCGAUUGAAUGAGCCGAUGUCGGAUUAGCUCGUUGGCGGGGUAAAGGCCCACCACGGCGACGAUCCGUAGCGGGUCUGAGAGGAAGAACAGCCACACUGUAUCUGAGACAGGGUACAGACUCCUACGGUAGGCAGCAGUGGGGAAUAUUAGGCGAUGGGGGAAAGCCUGAUCCAGCCAAACCGCGUGAGUGAAGAAGGCGUUCUGGUUGUAGAGCGAUGUUGUUGGGAAAGAAGAGCAACACUUUAAUACCCCGCUGUUCUGACGGUACCCAAAGAAUAAGCACCGGCUAACUUCGUG
rnacentral:rRNA from 1 species